rnacentral:tmRNA from 1 species
GGGGGCGUACCGGUUUCGACGGGAGCGCUUGCGCUUAGGAGGCAUGCCGGGGGUCCACACCACCCGUAAUCGGCGUGGGACAAAGACAACUGCCAACACGCAGUAUGCCUACGCUGCCUAAUUAGGUGGCGCGUCUCCUUCGUCCGGCCCGCAGGGCGGAACGAGGCGUCGAUCAGCGGGCUGGCUUGGAAUCCGCCGCCUGAAGAUUUCGAGCGAGACCCCGGCUCGCCGGGGAAUCAGGCUAGCCGCCGGUUCGUUAUUGCUCGUUCCUUAGGGCCGUCGGCGAAAAUGCAAGCGAACGGGAUAAGCAUGUAGGCUCCUGACCGUAGGUCUCUUCGGACGGGGGUUCGACUCCCCCCGCCUCCACCA